GGGGUUGUGGCGUAGUUGGGAGCGCGUUAGACUGAAGGCGCUAGAACGGUCUUCUGGUUAUCUAAAGGUCACCGGUUCAAUCCCGGUCAACCCCA